rnacentral:rRNA from 1 species
AGCAGCCGCGGUAAUUCCAGCUCCAAUAGCGUAUAUUAAAGUUGUUGCAGUUAAAAAAGCUCGUAGUUGAAUUUCGGGAUCGACGGGUCGGUCGCGCCUCCGGUGUGUACUGGCCCUGUCGGUUUCUCCCUUCUGAAGAACCGCGAUGUCAUUAAUUUGGUGUCGUGGGAAAUCAGGACUGUUACUUUGAAAAAAUUGAGUGUUUAAAGCAGGUAUUCGCUUGAAUACAUUAGCAUGGAAUAAUGAAAUAGGACGUUUGAUCUUAUUUUGUUGGUUUCUAAGAUCGACGUAAUGAUUAAUAGGGAUAGUUGGGGGGCAUUAGGUAUUCAAUUGUCAGAGGUGAAAUUCUUGGAUUUAUUGAAGACUAACUACUGCGAAAGCAUUUGCCAAGGAUGUUUUCAUUAAUCAAGAACGAAAGUUAGGGGAUCGAAGACGAUCAGAUACCGUCGUAGUCUUAACCAUAAACUAUGCCGACUAGGGAUCGGAUGAUGUAAUUUUUAAUGACUCAUUCGGCGCCUUA